ACCAGCCUGUUGUGCCAUCAUGCCAAACCCAAAUAGGUUUCCACGACAGCACAAAACAGAUCUGGGACAACGCAAACUACUUGCUCGACUCAUUUCCGAUAUCACUGUGUGAUCUUGUUAAAGCUAAUAUGCUCCAGAACUGUUUGGGUCCAAGACGAACAUCUGAUUACUCUUUUGCAAAUUCCAUUCUCAACAACAAAAAAAAAUGCUUCCUCUAGUCACGGUAGGAUACAAGAUGAUCAAAAUCCCCUCUGGUUCGACAAGUCAACACCAUUGGAAUCACGCUGAGUGAUAACGGCCGAUGGGUCCCUUUCAACUGGAGAUUGAUUCCAUGGCCAUCUAACGACCGUGCACACACACACACACACACACACACACACACGAGGUAUACAAGCAUCAUCCAUCCAAGUCCUCAAUAAAAACAAGAAAUGUUA